AUUGAACGCUGGCGGCAGGCCUAACACAUGCAAGUCGAACGGUAACAGGAAGCAGCUUGCUGCUUUGCUGACGAGUGGCGGACGGGUGAGUAAUGUCUGGGAAACUGCCUGAUGGAGGGGGAUAACUACUGGAAACGGUAGCUAAUACCGCAUAACGUCGCAAGACCAAAGAGGGGGACCUUAGGGCCUCUUGCCAUCGGAUGUGCCCAGAUGGGAUUAGCUAGUAGGUGGGGUAACGGCUCACCUAGGCGACGAUCCCUAGCUGGUCUGAGAGGAUGACCAGCCACACUGGAACUGAGACACGGUCCAGACUCCUACGGGAGGCAGCAGUGGGGAAUAUUGCACAAUGGGCGCAAGCCUGGUGCAGCCAUGCCGCGUGUAUGAAGAAGGCCUUCGGGUUGUAAAGUACUUUCAGCGGGGAGGAAGGGAGUAAAGUUAAUACCUUUGCUCAUUGACGUUACCCGCAGAAGAAGCACCGGCUAACUCCGUG
rnacentral:rRNA from 1 species